UGUUUCUGACAAUCAAACAUGAUACAGCAAUAUUGUCAUCAUCAUUUUCUGACUAAAAAUAUUUUUGUUCAGUACUUGGUUAAUUUAAAAUAUUUAUUGGUUAAAAUGCGACAAAAAUCUUCCAGACUAAAAUUUAUGCCCUGUUAAAAUUUCAGCGAGAUUAGUUAUAUAUUGAGGAAGUGCAUAGCCGACAAACAUAUAUGAAUAUACAUUGACUUAUAUAUAUAGAGAGAGAGAUGAAUAGAUGUUGUUUAUAUAUUUACAUUUCGGACUUAUGGAUUAAAUCCAUAUAUAAGACUAAAUGCAUUUUAAAAAGCUUAUGCGUGUCUACAUAACCUAGAAAGUCUGUUUAGGUAUUUAUGAUUAUAGAAGAUAGACGGUUGUGACUUGUGGUACUGUAAGCGCAUCACACGUGUAGACUCAGUUCAACUUUGCAUCUACAAGAUUCCUGGGUUCCAUUUGGUUACUUGAAAUAAUUGGUGGGGAUGGGCUUGUUCAAAUUAAGUCAAUAUUUCAAUACGGAUUCACCCAGGUUUGUGGUUGACCAACGACAACUUGGUAUGAUAAUAAAAAUGCUCUCAUGGACAACACUUAAGGGAUCGGAAAGAUUUUGGUGUCGUCGGCGGCCUGUUUUUGCUAAGACAGAGGCAAUUUUGUUCACACUUGGUUAUCUCGUGUGUCUUCAAUAAAGGUCACUGUGUAUCAAAUAUCUUUCAGAGUUAUUGUCUUAACACCGAUAUACAUGCUAAAAGGUACAACUUCCUUAAGUUUUGUUUAUGAGUGUAAACAUUAUUUUCCAUUAGGUUACAACUUUUUCUCUAAAUAAUGUAUAUAUUGAAUGGCCUAUUUACAUAUUUACAAUAUUAAAAUAAUUACAGUAAAAGAAAACAACGAUAUUUACAAUUGCAGUCUUGACUUAAGGUCAUUACUGUGGCCCUCGCAGAUAUGGCCCCGUGAUGUCAAGGUCCUGCAGCUAUCACGCAAGCCUCCUAUGGCCUCUCAUGGUAGUUCCUUGAUAAAAUGGUCCCUUUAUACCUCUUUAUCCAUCAACAAUAUUAUUUUAACCGAUUAAAAAUAUUAGAGAACGGCAUCUCCAGAUUGUGCAACUAAGAGCUACUGAUGCGUUCCGCCGACUCUCGUUACGAAUAUCAACUAAUCCCAGUUCAAUUUUACUUUUUUGCUAUUUCUCGAUUUUGUAAAGUCCUAAUUCCAGGUUUAAAAAUAACUAAAUCGCGUAUUUUAAGAAAAAUAGAUUGUCUAUACACGUGUAUUGUGUAUGUUGCUAUGCUUGAAUAGAGAGAAAGAGAGGGCGUCAAACCAGUGAAAUAAAUUUGAUUUCCCAAAAUGUGCAAAUAAGAUUAAUCAAUAAUAUAUGUAUAUAUUUAUUAGCCUUCAAGUGCUGCCCUUAACAGUAAAAUAGCGUAACUACUGAAAAUUUGUUUUACGAAUUUAAAAUUUACAUAUUUUUCUGCCUUUUAAAACAUAGUAUAUAUAGUUAAACCUGUCUAUAGCGCCCCCCUCUUGGGACUCACCAAAAUAGGGUGCUAUAGACAGGUCACUUUUAAUGUAAAUCGCAUCGUACUACGUAUUUAAAAUCGGGCGCUAUUUAGAGGGGGCGCUAUAGACAAGUUUAACUGUAUAUAUAUAUUAAAGUUCAGCCAUGUUUAUGUGAAUUUCUUAAUGAUUGUAAUUAGUUAAUUUUCGUAGAGAAGUUAAAAUAUUUCAUCUUUUCUCAUUAAGCAUUUCUUUUAUAUAAAUAACUAGACGUAUGACCCGGCUUCGCCCGAGAAUUCCCCCGAUGGCUAUUUCUUUUUUUCAUUUGAAAAACUUUUUUUUUACGCGGAGUAAUCCGGAAUGGAAUGAAUACCCAAAUAUGGCAAUUUUUUUAUAAGAAUCGGUGGUUCAGUGGUAGAAUGCUCGCCUGCCACGCGGGCGGCCCGGGUUCGAUUCCCGGCCGAUGCAUUUUUUCUUUACAAUUUUUAAAACUCAUUAAAUCAAAUACCUAAACACUAAUAUAAUACAAUUUUUGCCAUCACACACACUUUUUUCCUGUAGUUUAUGUGUUACUUCUGUAUUGCUAUUCUAUGGCACUUCUAAUAUUUAUUAUUGAUGUACUUUCAGUAUGAAGGAAAUUUCAUUCGGGGGAUUCUCGAGCGAAGCCGGGUCAUACGUCUAGUAUAUAAUAUAAAUGAGUUUUAAAAAUUGAAAAAAAAAAAUGCAUCGGCCGGGAAUCGAACCCGGGCCGCCCGCGUGGCAGGCGAGCAUUCUACCACUGAACCACCGAUGCGUAUAAAAAAUGGCCAUAUUUGGGUAUUCAUUCCAUUCCGGAUUACUCCGCGUAAAAAAAAAAAGUUCUUCAAAUGAAAAAAAAAGAAAUAGCCAAAAAUACUAAUCAAAAUGUAGCCGAAAAAUUUCCUCAGAUUUAUAAAAAGCGACAUGCAAAAUUUGGUACCAAUUGGUUCAGUAGUUUUUGAGUUUAUCGCGAAACAGACAGACAUUGACUUUUAUAUAUAUAGAGAUAGAACUUUAGUCAGUUCUAGGAACGGGUCUAGAACGACAGCCAGUUCAAAGCAUUAUUAUGAAGUUUUUACCUAUAUAUAUUUACAUAUCUUGAGACCUUUAUAUAUAUAGAGAUUACAUAUAUAUAUAAUUAUUAUGAAGUUUUUACCUAUAUAUAUUUACAUAUCUUGGCCUUUAUAUAUAUAGAGAUUACAUAUAUAUAUAUAACUAGCGGAUGUACCCGGCUUCGCCCGGGUUUUACCCUAGUGAAAGUUUACCUAACCAGUACUUGAAAAAAAUUAUUUUUCGAGCAUACAUCCACUCUCUACUUAAACUUUUUUAUAAAGAUAAGCUGUACCCGUUCACACGUUGCUGUGUUUGUACAAAAAGGCAGUUUUGAUACCUCAAACAUAAUUUAUUAAUGAUAAAAUGUAUACAAUACAUCAAAAUGAAAAUUAAUAAUGAAAUUAUCCCUAUAUAUAAGUCAUUUGAAUAUAACAUAUGUACAAAACAUAGAUAUACAUAGUUAAUGGUAGAAUAAACAUGUUUCUUCAUUUGUGAUAUUAAACAGUAUUGCAAACGAAUUUCAAUUGAACAACAAUUUUGUAAUUAUUAAAUAUUAUCAUGAAAUGAAUGAAAUUUGAUGAUUUAUUUAUUUAUUUCAAUUCAAAACGCUAUGUCCCCCUAGGGACACUUGCGCUAAAUGUAUAUACAAAUAUAAAAAAGAAAAUAUUCAACAUGGAAAGAUACACUGAAAGCGACUUAGAAAGAUUCAAAAAUAUUAUUUACAUAUAGAGAUAUUCUUUGAAAUUUAUUUACAGUUACAUCAUUAAAUUUAAAAAUAUAUACAUAUAUACACACAAAUACACCUAUAUAUUGUUUACAACCAUAAAAUAUGUCCAAUAUUUCCUUGAUGAUUGAUGGUGAACUUUAUCUUAGUAGUGCUUGUAAUUAUACAACAUUUUUUGUUUUCCUAUUUGGUGCAAGAACAAAUAAAUUUGAUGGUUUUCCAACUCGUGAACACCCAACGUACAGCUGUCCAUGUGAGAAGCAUGGAUUUAUCAAAUUUAAUCCACAUACUUGCAAUGAUUGUCCCUGUGCUUUGUUAAUGGUCAUUGCAAAGGCUAAUCGUACAGGAAACUGUAAACGUUUGAAUUCAAAUGGAGUAUCCGUUGGUAUCAUGGGAAUGCGUGGUAGUAGUACAUGUUCCCCUUGAUAUUUUCCAUUUAAAAUGGUUGCCUCAAUAAUGUUAUUCAUUAAUUUUUUUACUGAUAGCCUAGUCCCAUUGCAUAGUCGCGGUGGAUUUAUAUUUCGUAGAAGGAUGAUUGGGGAACCAAUUUUCAAAGAUAAAAUAUACGGUGGCAUUCCUGGUAGAUCCAAUGAAUUUAAAAAUUCUAUUGGAUAAUUAACUGAUUCAUCGGGAUUGACAACAGUAUCUAUGGAUUUAUAUGUUGUUUCUUCUUCAGGUAUUUUAUUUUGAAUUGUGCAGUUAAUUAAAUUCACAUCAAUUUUUUUGGCUGACAAUAUAGCACGCUCACUAACCCAAUGAUUAUUUUUAUAAUUCUGCGAUAAAUUUGGAAAAACUUUGGCAAUCAAUUCAUCAGUGGAUUUUACAAAGUGACAAAAGUUUUCUGGUAAUGUAAUACAGUGUGUGGAUUCGUCCAUUUCCAUUUUACCAUUCACAAUAUCUAACAAUUGUUUUGCAAAUCGUUCAGAAGAUUCAUCUUGUUGUAAUUGAACACGCAUAUUGGUCUUUAAAGAUAUUUUCUCCACAUACCGCCAUAACACUGAUGAUUUUAGACAUGCAUUCAAUUCAUCUGCAGGUGUUGAACGUGGUAUAACUGGUAGAGUUUGUCGAAAAUCACCAGCUAGCAAAAUGAGUGCACCACCGAAGAGCUGCUCAUUUCCUCUCAAAUCUUUUAAAGUACGAUUGAGUGCUUCCAAAGAUUUCUUGUGUGCCAUGGUGCAUUCAUCCCAUAUUAUAAACUGACAUGAUCUUAGUACUUUUCCCAUCCCAGAAUUUUUGCUAAUAUUACAUGUUGGAGUUUCAAUUACCUGCAUAUUUAAUGGCAAUUUCAACGCUGAAUGUGCUGUUCGACCACCGUCCAAAAGAGUUGCUGCAAUACCAGAUGAUGCAAUAGCAAGUGCAAUAUUAUUUUGUGAUCUUAUAGUUGCCAGAAUAAUUGAAAUAAGAAAAGUUUUUCCAGUGCCUCCAGGUGCAUCUAAGAAAUAUAAACCACAACUCUUGUUAGAUAUUGCAUUUAUAAUUGUGUCAUAUGCUGUUCGUUGCUCUAAUACCAAUUUCGGCAGAUCAAUUCGAACAAAUGCUUGUAAUUCAUUAGCAUCGAAGUGCGUUUCUUGUUGUAUAUCACGAUCUAAAAUGUCAAUACCAGAUCUAUUUGGAGCAAUCAUUCCCAAUUCUGUCAGUGAUUUGUUGGCUAUUGUCAAACACCCAUCCUCAAUUAAAAUCAAUGCUUCAUUGUAUAUUUUUGAUGUAACACAUGGCCAUUGACUGUUUUUAAAUCUUGGAAAGAUGUUGGUCCACGAACAUUGAUUAAUAAUAAUCUUAGGUAAAAGCAUUCUGCGUUAUUUGGAUGUACAGUGUACAGACGACCCAAUGCAUCUGUGGAAUAUAAAUUGAGGUGUCCUUGUACUGUUCUACCUUGUUUACGACGCUGAAAUUUUCUUGUUGAUGUAUUCCACGUAAAAUAAGUUGGUACUUCAGAGUACAGUAGUGUCCUUGCAAAGGUAACAUUUCUACAUAAUGUGAAAAAUUCAGUUAAUGUUGUUGGCGGUGGUGACAUUGCUCUUGCACGUACAUUUUAUGAUGUAAAAUACACACGCUGUCCAUUUUCAAUAUGUACUGCUAAAUGAACAACCGUUGGAUAUCGCUCAUGAAUGGAAAAUGAUAAAAUACGCCAUACAGCCUCAUUGCUACUUAUGUAGCGUCCCAGUUGAUAUUGGGUGACUUCAUCAUUAGAUGCAGUUGUAUUUUCCACUCCAAACACUGCCAUAUCGCUUCCUUUGUUCACAUAUUUGCAAAUAUAUUUUAUAGCUUUCACUGAGUUGCAGAACUCAACAUUUAUGUGUGCGUUAUACGUUUUUAGUAGUAAUGGAGAAUAUGGUACUACCCAACGAUUAUCAACAUCAAUAGUAUUGUUGAGUACUUUUAGUUUAAAGGAUUUUCCACCAUCUUCGGUAGAUCGUCGUCGAUAGAGUGGAUAUCCAUCAUUGCCUGUAAUAGUUUCAGCAAGUAAGUCUCUAGGAUACCGCUUUGUGCACUUUCCAUCUGACAUGCAUGGUGAAUUAUUAUUUAGUGAGCCACAUGGACCAUGAAUCAUAUUUUUUGAGACAAUAUCGUGCAAGUCUUCAUCAAUUUUAAUGUUUGGUAUUUCUGCAGAGAUAAUUUCAUCAAUUCUGCUUGGUGUUAUCUUUUCCAUCAUCCAUAUUAAAAUAUUCGCAUGUGGUAAACCUCUUUUUUGCCAUUCAAUGGAAUACAUCCAACAGCGCGUCUCUCCAAAUACAUGGUGUUUGACAAUAAAAUCUAGUAAAGAUUUUAAUUUUUGUUUAAAUACACGUGCGGAAAUAUCAUGACGAUCUGAUGGUGAUUGUCCAGUUAAUAAAAGCUCCUUUAUUUCAUCCCAUGCUGGGUUGCAUGUAAAUGUGAUGAAAAAAUCUGGACGACCAUAUGCACGAACAUACGUCAUUGCAUCUUGUGCAUAUUCAUGCAUGUGUCUUGGACUGCCUGUAAAUGUGGAUGGUAAAAUGACCAUUUUUCCCAAUUCCCUGAGAUUGCCAUCAUUUACAACUGCAUCACGUAAAUGGAUGUACUCUUCAGAACGCAAUUUGACUUGAUUUAGUCGUAUGUAGAGGAGCCUUUCACUUUCUAUUUUUGCAUACAUGUCAACAAUGUAUUGAUGAAAUAAUUGUCUACAUUUCAAUAUAUGAUUAUCAGCAUUCUCACGAUUCAUCAUUCGAUAUGCAUAAUAAUUCAUAGCACUGACCUUUUUGUUAAUGUCCACAUUAGUUGUGGGAUUUCUCAUAUUAAUAUUAAAAUGAUAUCCAUCCUCUCCUUGCCAAAAUAGAAUGGGAUAUUGUAAUGCAUCAUAUGAACGAUGCGUUUCUGAUACUUUCUGGACGCCACCAUUUCUACGAUGAAGAAUGAUAUCGCGAGAAUUAAAUUCUUCACCAACUAUGACAAUUGCCACUUCAUCGAUCGUUGGUGCGUUGAAUUGUCUCCUAUGUUGACCAAUAGGUGUUUUAUCUGCCUUUAUUAUUACUUUGUAAUCGUCAGAUGGCAUUUGUUCAAUGGCGGUUUUAAAUAAUUUAAUUAAUUCAUUAUGUUGUUCAAACAAAUUUUGUAAUUCAGCGACAAUCUCUCGUUUAGUACUCACAUUCAGUUGACACCGUCUGUUGAUUUGUU
rnacentral:tRNA from 1 species